rnacentral:tRNA from 1 species
GCGCUCGUAGCUCAGGGGAUAGAGCAUCGGCUUGCGGAGCCGGGAGUCACAGGUUCGAAUCCUGUCGAGCGCACCA